CAGUAGCCGCGGGAACACGAACCGUGCGAACGUUAUUCGGAAUCACUGGGCUUAAAGCGCGUGUAGGCGGAUGGGAGCGUCGGCCUCUGAAAUCCCCCGGCUCAACCGGGGAAGUGGAGCCGAAACGACCCGUCUGGAGGGACGUAGGGGGACCUGGAACUUCCGGUGGAGCGGUGAAAUGCGUUGAGAUCGGAAGGAACGCCCGUGGCGAAAGCGAGGUCCUGGACGUCUGCUGACGCUGAAACGCGAAAGCCAGGGGAGCGAACGGGAUUAGAUACCCGGGUAGUCCCUGUCUCUUAUA
rnacentral:rRNA from 1 species